UUGGAGGGCAAGUCUGGUGCCAGCAGCCGCGGUAAUUCCAGCUCCAAUAGCGUAUAUUAAAGUUGUUGCAGUUAAAAAGCUCGUAGUUGAAUUUCGGGGUCAGUAGGUUGGUCAUGCCACUGGUAUGUACUGGUCUCACUGAUUCCUCCUUCCUGAUGAGCCGUAAUGCCAUUAAUUUGGUGUUGCGAGGAAUCUGGACUGUUACUUUGAAAAAAUUAGAGUGUUUAAAGCAGGCUAACGCUUGAAUACAUUAGCAUGGAAUAAUGAAAUAGGACGUUCGAUCUUAUUUUGUUGGUUUCUAGGAUUGACGUAAUGAUUAAUAGGGAUAGUUGGGGGCAUUAGUAUUCAAUUGUCAGAGGUGAAAUUCUUGGAUUUAUUGAAGACUAACUACUGCGAAAGCAUUUGCCAAGGAUGUUUUCAUUAAUCAAGAACGAAAGUUAGGGGAUCGAAGACGAUCAGAUACCGUCGUAGUCUUAACCAUAAACUAUGCCGACUAGGGAUCGGAUGAUGUUAAUUUUUUAAUGACUCAUUCGGCGCCUUACGGGAAACCAAAGUGUUUGGGUUC
rnacentral:rRNA from 1 species